UUAGGAAUAUUCGUCAAUGGAGGAAACUCUGAACGAGCAAUGCCGCGUGAGUGAUGACGGUCUUUAUGAUUGUAAAACUCUGUUGUUGGGGACGAACCCCUAUCAUAGGUAAUGAUGAUAGGCUGACGGUACCCUUCCAGAAAGCCCCGGCUAACUACGUGCCAGCAGCCGCGGUAAUACGUAGGGGGCGAGCGUUAUCCGGAUUUAUUGGGCGUAAAGCGUGUGUAGGCGGUUUGUUAAGUCUGAGAUUAAAGCCCGAGGCUCAACCUCGGUUCGUUUCAGAAACUGGCAGACUUGAGUGUGGUAGAGGCAAGUGGAAUUUCUAGUGUAGCGGUUAAAUGCGUAGAUAUUAGAAGGAACACCAGUGGCGAAGGCGGCUUGCUGGGCCAUUACUGACGCUGAGACACGAAAGCGUGGGGAGCAAAUAGG
rnacentral:rRNA from 1 species